AGGCUGUGGGAGCUAGCUACGUUAGCUCGUUAGUAGCCUAGCUCAUGAGACAAAAGUACAAACACUUUGAACACUGUUGGUUUGUUUAGCUCGCUGGCAAACAGCCCAGCAGCUCACAGAACCAUAAACAGAACCGAGCUCAUUGUUUACUAUCCGAAGCUUCGUUAGCACAGCAGCUAACUGCUAGCCUCCAUGUAAACACAGCUAACACGCAGCUAACAGCUAACAGCUAACAGCUAACACGGCGGGUUUACUUACAGCAGAGCGAACUUUAAAAUGGCGCCUUCCGCCUCCGGAACCUUCUGAUCAAACCACGGACUGUAUGAAAUGAGGAUUAAACGUGUGGGUUAAAGUGAAAAGGUGACGGAGUGGCCGCCCCGAUCCAGCAGGAGCAGCUGCUGCACCCCGGCUGUGACAGCCAAUGGGAGCGGCGGAGAGAGGCUACGUCACUUUAUUUGUUGGGCAUGCGCACUUUCCCUCUGCGUUUGUCAAUCAGAUUCAGAAUCAGAAAGUAGUUUAGAGGAUUUUACCUUUUUUAUAUCCAGUCUAUGGAUUUUACACAUAAACGUAAACAGGAGUCCAGAGGGGGCAGCAGCGCGACACUGAGGCUGCUGCCGCCGAGAAGAAGAAGAAGAAGAAGAAGAAGAAGAAGAAGAAGAAGAAGACGAACCGUCGGGCGGGCGGGCUCAGUUGUUGUUGUUAUUAUUGUUGUUCUCGUUCCACAGAGGUUUAGAAAGACUUCAGAAACGAUGCAUCAGUUGGAUCCGUCUCUGUCCUCAGUGACUCCAGCUGCCAGCCUGUUGGCCAGAUGUGUCUCCAGAGGUGCCAUGUCUCAGGUGUGUUCUAACAACAAUGCUAGAGACACUCACCUGCUGAAGCCUGACCCGGUUUAAACACCUGGAUCCAUCUGCACACAGGAAACUGUGUUGGUCACUUGUAUCUAACAAAACAUAAAACCCAAAACCCAGAACAGGGUCCAGGUGUGUCGGCACAUAGAGACGUGAGGUCAGAACAGGGUCCAGGUGUGUCGGCACAUAGAGACGUGAGGUCAGAACAGGGUCCAGGUGUGUCGGCACAUAGAGACGUGAGGUCAGAACAGGGUCCAGGUGUGUCGGCACAUAGAGACGUGAGGUCAGAACAGGGUCCAGGUGUGUCGGCACAUAGAGACGUGAGGUCAGAACAGGGUCCAGGUGUGUCGGCACAUAGAGACGUGAGGUCAGAACAGGGUCCAGGUGUGUCGGCACAUAGAGACGUGAGGUCAGAACAGGGUCCAGGU